CCCGCUGAACUUAAGCAUAUCAAUAAGCGGAGGAAAAGAAACUAACAAGGAUUCCCCUAGUAACUGCGAGUGAAGCGGGAAAAGCUCAAAUUUAAAAUCUGGCGGUCUCGCGGCCGUCCGAGUUGUAAUCUGGAGAAGCGUUUAUCCGCGUCGGACCGUGUACAAGUCUUCUGGAAGGGAGCGUCAUAGAGGGUGAGAAUCCCGUCUUUGACACGGACAACCGAUGCUUUUGUGAUGCGCUCUCGAAGAGUCGAGUUGUUUGGGAAUGCAGCUCAAAAUGGGUGGUAAAUUCCAUCUAAAGCUAAAUAUUGGCGAGAGACCGAUAGCGAACAAGUACCGUGAGGGAAAGAUGAAAAGAACUUUGGAAAGAGAGUUAAACAGUACGUGAAAUUGCUGAAAGGGAAACGCUUGAAGUCAGUCGCGUCAUCCAGGGAUCAACCUUGCUUUUGCUUGGUGCACUUCCUGGUUUGAUGGGUCAGCAUCAAUUUUGACCGUUGGAAAAAGGCUGAGGGAAUGUGGCAUCUUUGGAUGUGUUAUAGCCCUCUGUCACAUACAAUGGUUGGGAUUGAGGAACUCAGCACGCCGCAAGGCCGGGUUUUUAAACCACGUACGUGCUUAGGAUGCUGGCAAUAUGGCUUUAAUCGACCCGUCUUGAAACACGG
rnacentral:rRNA from 1 species